UUCAGCCCCAGCAUACCCCCCCACCCACCUCGUAACCUCAGCCAGAAUACCUUCACUUCUGUGUAUACAGCACCACAGGCAGGCUUGCCAGCUGUUUACACAUGCGCACACAUACUCAGACACACACACACACACUCUUACACAUACUUAAAAAACACAAAUAUGCAGCCGGCUUUCUCUGCUACACACACAGACAAACACUCAGACACAGAACACAUCUAUAUAAACUCAGGCUCCAUGAAAACAUAUUCAUAUUUUUGCAAAUGUAGUCACACAAAUAGACUCUUCCACUCAUACUGUACACACACACACACCAUGUGAUUUGGCCUGGGCCUGUUCCGUCUGUUGGCGAGUUAGAGGAACGGAAUGUGUAAGAAACGGUGCCCACACAUCGAGCAACCGCCCAACACUUGAGUUGGCAUCGCACACACAGCGGGGAAGUGCAGCGACUGAACAGCAGGAGAGGCGUGGGUGUAAAAGGGACCACAUUCCCAGUGGGGACAGUUAAGUCCCUCACAAGGGGAAGCAAUCAGACCCAAACCUCCAAAUGAUGAGUGUCGUCUUCCUCCCUCCCCAUCCGGCCGGAGCCUGCAAGUGGUGGUUGGUUUUGUCCCAUCCUCGCCACCGCACUUUGGGCUGGGGUUCCCCACUGAGAACCCACACGCCUGUGCUGGAAGGGCAGGGAUAAUGAGACACUAUGGGGACAACAAAGGCAUCUGCCCCUGCUCUUAGUCAUAUUGCAAAAGCCAUACAUCAGCCACUGCUGGGCCAGCGCCUCGCCCUGCCCAGCUCCUUUCCGCCUCGCAACAUGACUACAAAGCCAUGGGCUAAAUGACAGGAGUGGAGACGAUGCACAGCAUGACGGGGAAAGAAGAGAGGAGAGGUGGAUAUUUAACAUGGAAGUAUUAAAAAGAACAUAAGCAGAAAUAAGGGCACAGUCAAAAGCUCUCUGGUGAAUUAAAACAUUCAGCUGUAUCAAUGGGUGCCUCGCUAUGAAACUAGGAGAGGGUGUGGAUGUCAUGGCUGGUUGCCAAGUUGGAAGCUUCAGGGCUUCCUAGUAGGGCACAAAUUGUCACAUGCACCAGUGGCCAAACCCAAACCACCAUGACCAAGGGUGGAAGUGACAUCAUUCUCUAUGGCUUGGCAGGCAGGGAUGAUGGCAUUAUAAUAGCGAUGGCGUCGUGCUGGAGGACCGAGCCAAGAAUUGGUUAACCACUGAGGAAAAGACAUGGGGGCGCAAUGAAAGACAAGAAAGGAAAGGGAGGAUUUGUCUUGUUUGUCAGGUGAAGGUUAAUUGAUCUUGUUUUAGCCUUGCUAACAGCAUGGCUUCAUUGGUGGUGAUGUCGGUCGGUCAGUCAGGAGACCCCUUUGGUCCAGACUGAAUUAUCUCAGUCAUUAUAACAUGGAUUGCUAUGAAAAUUGAUCCAGAUAUCCAUGAUCUCCAGAGGAUGAAUCCUACUGACUUUUCCUGUAGUGAUCCCAAGAAGUCAGACUUUUCACUUAACUUGAAGUAUCUCAACAUCUACAGGAUGGAUUGGCACAAAUAUUUCUCCAGAUAUUCAUGGCUAUCAGAAGAUGGUUAUGGUUAUGGUUUGCUGAUCACCUGACUUUUCCUCUGAUCCAACCACGAGGUUAACAAUUUUGGUUUUGAAUGAAAUGUCUCAACAGCUAUUGGGUGGAUUGCUAACCAGUUUGGUUCAGACAUUUCCCCUCAGAGGAGUGGCAUGGUGGUGCAGGGGUUUGAACCUAUUUCUGUGUGGCUUAUGCAUGUCCUCCCUGUGCCUGCAUGGACUCCAAAGGGGUUAACUGGUGACUCCAAAUUGCCCAUAGGUGUUUGUCCCUAUAUGUUAGCAAUCUGACAUUAGCAUUGAGCUUAAAGCACCACUAUGUCUAAAUACAU